UCUCUCUCUCUGAUGCAAGGAAUGGUGGACUUGAGCUUAAUUUCCUCCUCUACUUGAUGCUAGCUGAGCUGAGAGAGGUUAGAGGACAGCUAGAGAAGAGCUAGUUCCUGGGGUUCUUCUACUUUAAUUUCAAAGAAAGCUGAAUUGAGACUUUGGAAAGCUGUUGGUUUUCCCUUCGAGCUAAAUUGAGGGGUAACUGUGAGCUGGAUUCAGGUGUGUAAUCGAAGUCGGAGUAAAGGUCUGACCCUGUGCUGCACCUAGGCUUGUGACAGGGUAUUGGAUGAUUCUCGGCUGAGUAUCGGGAGCUUUUAGAGGCUGAAUUAGAUGUACUAACCUGAACCAAAAUAGGGGUACAAGCUGUAGCUUUG